AAAAUAAAUAAAUAAAUGCGAAGAAAAACUAAGAAAUAGGGGAAAGGAAGAAAGAACAAAACAGAAGCAAGAGAGAUUCACCACUUUCGCUUUGUGGGUUGGCCGGACUCAAGAAGUGAUGAUACCCAAAACAAUAAAAUAUUAAUAAUUAUACUUAGAAACUAUGGAAAAUAUGGACGUUUAGGAAACUAUCAUAAUUUUCUAAAAUGCUAAAAUAUCUAUUAGAGGGAAUAAAUUGCGUAUUAACAUCUCGUUUUUCCAAUAGAAACUGCUGAACUCAUAUUAUAAUGGAAAUGGAACUGUUUGACAUUAAAUUACCGAAGUUUGGUUCCUGUAUAGUCUUGAAAAGAUAAUAAUUGGGAUUGGAAUCGAUCAACUACCCUCCAAUAAAUAUGACACUAAUAAAUAGAGGAAAAUUCAAAACUUAAAAGCAACCCCAGAAUCAGAUUUCUCAGAGAGAUUUUAGCAGCAAAUUAAUUACGUAAUUAACUGAUCAAGCCCCCCCAAAAAAACCUUUUUUUUCAAUCAAGAACAGCAACGAUCAGAAGUACAGUACAUGCAUCAAAUCUUAGAAGAUCAAUCACUCUAAAUAAAGCGACUGCCACGUCCAUUGCAGGGCAGAAAUUCACUACCCCUCCUGAAAUUAAACACAAAUUGAAACUGGCCAGAAUAGCAUUAUACGUAUAAGAAAGAAGAAAGUGAAGUGUCAAA
rnacentral:misc_RNA from 1 species